rnacentral:rRNA from 1 species
GACGAACGCUGGCGGCGUGCUUAACACAUGCAAGUCGAACGGAAAGGCCCUGCUUUUGUGGGGUGCUCGAGUGGCGAACGGGUGAGUAACACGUGAGUAACCUGCCCUUGACUUUGGGAUAACUUCAGGAAACUGGGGCUAAUACCGGAUAGGAGCUCCUGCUGCAUGGUGGGGGUUGGAAAGUUUCGGCGGUUGGGGAUGGACUCGCGGCUUAUCAGCUUGUUGGUGGGGUAGUGGCUUACCAAGGCUUUGACGGGUAGCCGGCCUGAGAGGGUGACCGGCCACAUUGGGACUGAGAUACGGCCCAGACUCCUACGGGAGGCAGCAGUGGGGAAUAUUGCACAAUGGGCGGAAGCCUGAUGCAGCAACGCCGCGUGCGGGAUGACGGCCUUCGGGCUGUAAACCGCUUUCGCCUGUGACGAAGCGUGAGUGACGGUAAUGGGUAAAGAAGCACCGGCUAACUACGUGCCAGCAGCCGCGGUGAUACGUAGGGUGCGAGCGUUGUCCGGAUUUAUUGGGCGUAAAGGGCUCGUAGGUGGUUGAUCGCGUCGGAAGUGUAAUCUUGGGGCUUAACCCUGAGCGUGCUUUCGAUACGGGUUGACUUGAGGAAGGUAGGGGAGAAUGGAAUUCCUGGUGGAGCGGUGGAAUGCGCAGAUAUCAGGAGGAACACCAGUGGCGAAGGCGGUUCUCUGGGCCUUUCCUGACGCUGAGGAGCGAAAGCGUGGGGAGCGAACAGGCUUAGAUACCCUGGUAGUCCACGCUGUAAACGGUGGGUACUAGGUGUGGGGUCCAUUCCACGGGUUCCGUGCCGUAGCUAACGCUUUAAGUACCCCGCCUGGGGAGUACGGCCGCAAGGCUAAAACUCAAAGGAAUUGACGGGGCCCCGCACAAGCGGCGGAGCAUGCGGAUUAAUUCGAUGCAACGCGUAGAACCUUACCUGGGUUUGACAUGGAUCGGGAGCGCUCAGAGAUGGGUGUGCCUCUUUUGGGGUCGGUUCACAGGUGGUGCAUGGCUGCCGUCAGCUCGUGUCGUGAGAUGUUGGGUUAAGUCCCGCAACGAGCGCAACCCUUGUUCACUGUUGCCAGCACGUUAUGGUGGGGACUCAGUGGAGACCGCCGGGGUCAACUCGGAGGAAGGUGGGGAUGACGUCAAGUCAUCAUGCCCCUUAUGUCCAGGGCUUCACGCAUGCUACAAUGGCUGGUACAGAGAGUGGCGAGCCUGUGAGGGUGAGCGAAUCUCGGAAAGCCGGUCUCAGUUCGGAUUGGGGUCUGCAACUCGACCUCAUGAAGUCGGAGUCGCUAGUAAUCGCAGAUCAGCAACGCUGCGGUGAAUACGUUCCCGGGGCU